GACGUAGGAGGCGAGCGUUGUCCGGAUUUAUUGGGCGUAAAGGGUGCGUAGGCGGCGCGGUAAGUCGGGUGUGAAAUCUCGGGGCUUAACUCCGAAACUGCAUUCGAUACUGCCGUGCUUGAGGACUGGAGAGGAGACUGGAAUUUACGGUGUAGCGGUGAAAUGCGUAGAUAUCGUAAGGAAGACCAGUGGCGAAGGCGGGUCUCUGGACAGUUCCUGACGCUGAGGCACGAAGGCCAGGGGAGCAAACGGG
rnacentral:rRNA from 1 species